AGCACAGUUUGAUGAUUUCUGCAAGAAAAAAAAGUCUGGCACACUUGAAGUGACUGAGUUGAAAACUUGAAGUCAGAAUUCAAUGACUGCAAUGGCUUUUGGAGUCAUUGGUGAGUGCUCCCACAGGUGGACUGAACUGGACUGGCCCUGCAAAGACAAGUACAGAAUGGUCUCAAGACAAACUGAAUCCAAAAAGCUAUCCAUGUGAUUUCUGGGAGCAAUUCUGAACCACGUGUGGACUAUGGAAUACCCCAAAACUGUCCCUAUGAAAAUGGGAAGUGCCAGGACUAGAAGCAGGACUUGGGAUUCCCGUCUUCUUCCGGGAUUUUUGCCUCAAAGAAGACUCUCUCCGUCAUGGUGAAAAUUGGACCCAGAGUCUGAAUCAGUGAAUUGAAUUCAAUGUUAAUGCUGGUAUUGAAAAUAAAACAGAGUAAGAUUGAGAGAAAGAUAAAAUAAGUUUAAACCAUUUUUUUAGAUUUUCAACAGUAUAUAGAAAUGGUAGGAAUGCGAUUUCACAUCUAUUAAAGUUAACUUCUGGUGUCAGAGAGGUAAAUGAGAAUAAUUAGAACUUAUCACACUGCUAAAAGGUUAUUUACAUUGGAGUGGACAAACCCUAACUUCUUCUGGAUUUAAUGGAUAUAUUUGUUUGUCUUUUAUAUUGUCAUUGUUUCUGAAGGUUUGUAAUUGAUAUGUAUUCAGGUAAAUGUAGCAACCUCAUAUCAUUUCAUGUGGCUGCUUGAGGCAUGGUGACCCUCAGGUAAGCCACCACCAGCUAUCUCACUCUAAUGAAAGAGUAGCCUUAUGGUCUGCUAGGACUAUGGCUGCUUCCCUCUUGCUGAGACCACAUGUGGUAACUGGAAGCUAUGCUCAGCCUUAUCAUUGUAUUAAUGCAAAAUUAUUGUUUGAUAGUCUUGAUAGCUUGCUUAUAUGAUUUCAUAUUAUUUUCAUUUGAGAAAAUAAUUUUAAUGGAUUUCUUACAUUGCAGCAUAAUUAUAUUUUC